GAUGAACGCUGGCGGCGUGCCUAAUACAUGCAAGUCGAGCGAACAGACGAGGAGCUUGCUCCUCUGACGUUAGCGGCGGACGGGUGAGUAACACGUGGAUAACCUACCUAUAAGACUGGGAUAACUUCGGGAAACCGGAGCUAAUACCGGAUAAUAUAUUGAACCGCAUGGUUCAAUAGUGAAAGACGGUUUUGCUGUCACUUAUAGAUGGAUCCGCGCCGCAUUAGCUAGUUGGUAAGGUAACGGCUUACCAAGGCGACGAUGCGUAGCCGACCUGAGAGGGUGAUCGGCCACACUGGAACUGAGACACGGUCCAGACUCCUACGGGAGGCAGCAGUAGGGAAUCUUCCGCAAUGGGCGAAAGCCUGACGGAGCAACGCCGCGUGAGUGAUAAAGGUCUUCGGAUCGUAAAGCUCUGCUAUUAGGGAAGAACAAAUGUGUAAGUAACUAUGCACGUCUUGACGGUACCUAAUCAGAAAGCCACGGCUAACUACGUG
rnacentral:rRNA from 1 species